rnacentral:rRNA from 1 species
UGGGGAAUUUUGGACAAUGGGCGAAAGCCUGAUCCAGCAAUGCCGCGUGUGUGAAGAAGGCCUUCGGGUUGUAAAGCACUUUUGUCCGGAAAGAAAUGGCUCUGGUUAAUACCUGGGGUCGAUGACGGUACCGGAAGAAUAAGGACCGGCUAACUACGUGCCAGCAGCCGCGGUAAUACGUAGGGUCCAAGCGUUAUUCGGAAUUACUGGGCGUAAAGCGUGCGCAGGCGGUUGUGCAAGACCGAUGUGAAAUCCCCGAGCUUAACUUGGGAAUUGCAUUGGUGACUGCACGGCUAGAGUGUGUCAGAGGGGGGUAGAAUUCCACGUGUAGCAGUGAAAUGCGUAGAGAUGUGGAGGAAUACCGAUGGCGAAGGCAGCCCCCUGGGAUAACACUGACGCUCAUGCACGAAAGCGUGGGGAGCAAACAGG